AACAGUAUUUUCGCCUUGCUCAAUAAAUCUUUGUUUAUUAAGUCCAUGUUGAAUAAGUUUUUCCAGAUUGCAUGAAAUAGAAAAGUAGUCUUUGAGUUCGUUUGCUCAAUUUGUUGUACUUCUCACGUCUAAUAAAAAAAUCCUAUCAAGACAGAACAGCAACCAAAUGUGUUUCUGGGAAAAGAGAAGAUAGAUUGCGUUCCCAACAACAAAGGAAAAGAGAAGAUACAAAACGGCUGCGUUUGAUUUACUGGGUCUAAAGAAUAAACAAAAGUUAUGGGCCGUUUAAUCAUAAAGUCCAAGGUUAAACGAUGUCGCAUAGGUCUCAAUCUUCAUCUUCGAUGUUGAAUAACGACACCUGUUCAUUUCACAGUAGCUGAGCAACUGGAAAAAUACACCACCGAGUCGGCAAACAACAACACUGCCAUUCCGACAGCCUCAAUUCGUCUCCAACCACGAAUCUCCGUAGCCGAAGAUAGCUCAAUCGUCCCAAUUCAGGAAAAAGGGGAAGACUUUGAAGUUAUGACUCUUACGGAGAAGAAUAUGGAUGUGAAUGAUUCGGGUCGGGCUGACCCGUUUACAGCAACCACCUUGAAUGAUGAGCGAGCUCACGACCCCGAUGAGAACAGCUACCAGACUUCAAUACAGGCGAAGCUUAGAACAGAUGAUUGAUAGAUCUCAUCACUGAAAAUGGAAUGGACGAUCCAAACAACAUUCUGAUCCUUAUGCACUCAUGUGUGGAAACUGCCGUAUGCAUCAUGGUGAGUGAGCCAACAUUGGUCCAAUAAGUGUUUAGAUAUUAUGAAAUUAUUUAGAUAUUCUUAGUUAUUUCUAUGUAAAUAUAUGCAAAUAAGUCUAGUAGAUAUUUCUACUAGACUAUUCUAGAUCCUUAAAAAGAUUUUUUAUACCAUUAGCGCCUUUUCUUUCCCAAAAAUAGCUAAAAUUUUCAUUAACCGCUUUAAUUUUUGCCAAAAAUUUCCCCACUCAAUAAGAAUCCCUAAAACUGCGUCAAAACUAUUUAACCAUCUCCCUCUACUUCUCAAAAUCGAUUUCUACGCCACAUCCCUUUUAUCAAUAUGCGACUAGUUUGUCUUUCAUUUCAGAGGUAAGGUAUUUCUACAUAAUUCUGGAUUUUAAAAAACUGCUAAUCUCUGCUCUCCAUUGAUCUUUUCGAAUCUCUGUGGCUUGUCUAGAUUUUUUAAACUUCUAAUCUAGAUGUCUGCUAAUCUCUCUGCUUUCCAUCUCCAUCGAUCUUUCAAAUAUCUCUGUGGCUAGUCUGGAUUUUAAAACUACAAAUCUAAAUGUUAAAUUGCUAAUCUCUGCUUUCCAUCUCCAUCAGUCAUUCAAAUAUCUAUGUGGCUUGUCUGGAUUUUUAAACUUCUAAUCUAGAUGUUAAACUGCUAAUCUCUGCUCUCCAUUGUUCUUUCAAAUCUCUCUCUGGAAUCUUCUGGGGAAUGAAAUUUAUAUCAAGGCUGCUGGAUCAUCUAAACAUGGCCAUAUAUUUGGACUUGGAGCACUAAUUGAGGCUCUACCAUCUGUUGGUGCUUCUUCAAGUGUACCACAAACUUCUGAAGAAGUAGAGACGAUAACGCAUCGGCUACAAGAGAUGGAAACUGAUCUUAAAAAGAGCCUUGAAGAGAAUCUGCAAACUCAGAAAAGACUUGAAGCUAUGGAAAAAUGUCUAGUCUAGAUCCGAAUCCACCACCAAGACCUUCCAGCUAAUAUAGUUAUGUAUAUAUUCUGGUUUCUAUUAGCCUAAGUAUCGUUUAGUUUUCAUUUUCUUUAAGUUGUGUUACUUUGUUUGGAUGCUAGUCGUUUAGUAAAUAUUAUCGUUUGUUUGGAUUAUAGUCUAUUGUCUUUAAGAUUUCUAUAAA